GGAGCUUUGACUGCAAUGGAGAGGCAAAGUAAUCAUCUUCAUCUUCAUCUUCAUCUUCAUCUUCAUCUUGAAGUAAAAGAAAGCCAAUCUUUAUCCAUUAUUUGUGUGUGCUUUUUAGUAACCACUUGUAUGACAAAUCUAACCAUUCCCUUAAUUGAUUGGAUUGACUCGAAUCCUCUUGUUGAAAGUGGAAACUAAUGGACGACGGCGUGGGACUCUAGUGUCGAUGGUGCAAACCUCAUUCGAUUAGAUGUUCUUCGAAAGUGAAAAUGUCCACAUCGAAUUAGUAGUGGUGUUCCCCACUAGAUCCAAGGAUGUUUCUUUGUCCUAUCGUCUCCUGCCUCCUAUAAAUUAACAACCCUUCGACUCUUCAUUCUUCGCGGUGAAGUAGAAGACCAAGAGCAAUAGGAAGAAGAGCCUUCGAGCAAGAUCAAUCAAUGGGGACAAGAGUUUUAUCGAGUUGUCAUGGAAAUGGGUCUAGCUUUUGGCACACUCCAAUUCCAUAUCUUUUUGGAGGUAUAGGGGCUAUGAUGGUGCUCAUAGCGGUGGCUCUCCUGAUGCUUGCAUGCUCUCGCCGGAAAUCAUUUGUCGAUAGUGACAAUCCGAGCUUGGCUCUAGAGCCCGAGGACGCUAGUAUUCAAGUUCCGAUUGAUUUGGAGCCCAGAUUUGCGGUUAUCGUGGCCGGUAAAGACACACCCACCUUCCUUGCAAAGCCUGUGCCAUGCGUUCUUCGUGACUCAGCUUCUCUUCAAGAAUCCUAAUUCUUCAUCGACUUUUUGUUUCCUUUUGGUUUUGUUUACAAUUUGCGGAUGAGAUGACUUGUUUUAGCAAGAAAUAGUAUGAAUUUGUAAUGAGUUUCCAGAAAUGUUUUUUGAUAUAAAGUGGUUUGUGUUUGAUCCCAUUGUCAAAACAAACACCUUUCUUCCU